CCAUACUUCUUUCUAACUCUUUUUAGUGUUGAAUUUCUUUUGUGGUGUGUAGUGUGGCUAUGUAAUAAUCAGCUGUUGCAGCUGCUGCUUUUGAUAGAUCUUAGUUGGAUUAACACUUGAAAAUUUCUCUGUAACCAUAUAUAUUCAUGAGAUCUUUGGGUUAUUCUAUAUCAGGGAUUCAGAUGUGGGUCUGACAAACUUAACCCAUUGUCCCUGUGAUUGAUUUGAAUAGAAGUAGCUAAAUCAGUUGCACAAUAUUAUAUUGGACAGUAUGAUUACUCAAUUCUAGAAACACUUCUACAUUUAGGAUAUUUUUGAUCACUCAUUAAUGUCAGUUGUUUUGGGGUGGUCCAUUUAUAGUUUGGUUUGUUGUACUUGAACAGUUUUGGUUUAAAAAGCUGCUACAUAUGGAGUUGAAUUCCUGAUUUCAUUUCAUAAAUUGUUGAGUUCAAAUGAUUUAUUUUGUGAACCAUAUGAUUGGAAUUUGAAGUAUACCAUCAAGAUUUUCAAUGGCACUGUGGUAUUUGAGAGGGAGCAAUAACGAUGGAAAAAAUUAUGGUUAUGCUUAUCACAUUUGAAAGAAAUGAGCUUCUCUAACUUUUGUUGAGCCCAAGGCUUUUGACCUUGCAAUUUGAAGUGUACCAGCAAGAUUUUCAAUGGCACUGUGGCAUUUGAGAUGGAGCAAUUACGAUGGAAAAAAUUAGGGCUAUGCUUAUCACAUUUGAAAGAAAUGAGCUUCUCAAACUUUGGUUGAGCCCAAGGCUUUUGACCUUGUUUAUUUCUCUUAGCUAAGAAAUUCCUCUCAUGGUUGGAUGGUCAGAACCUCAUUCAUAAAUGUCUCAGUUAAGUGUUUUUGAUGCCAAGGACCUCUCAUGUUGUCUUUGGGCCAAAACAAAAUGACAGCGGAUCUAUAACCUCUUCUGAAGAAGUUUGAGAAUUUCAAGUUAAUUAAAGAAAAAAAAAACCAUGUAAUUUUGAUUUUGUGGAAUUGUUAAUAAAUACAUGCUUGGAGAUAGCAUACAUCAUGGACUCUUUACCAAUGCUACUUUCAUCUAAUUGAUCACCAAGAAAGAUAAGCCCAUUAAGAUUAGUGACUUUCAUUCCAUUAGUUUAGUCACUUGUAUAAAAGUUUAGCUGAAGUGUUAUCAAUGAGGCUGAGAGUAGUUUUAUGGGACACUCUCUCUUCCUGUUAAGGUACCUUUGUUGAGGGUAAUCGGAUUUUAGAUGUAGCUUUGAUAGCUAUUGAGGUAGUGGAAGAUUAUAGAAUAUUUAUAAUGAUGGAGUUAUUUUUAACGUGAGUUUUGGAAAAAAAUAUAUGAUUAUGUAGAAUGGAGUUUUUUGGACUUUGUUUGAAAACAAAGAAAUGGAGAAAGAUGAACAAAAUGGAUUCAGGGUUGUUUGUCGAUUAUAUCCUCUUGUAAUUUAUUGGUUAUAAAUUAUAAUUAAUGGUAAGACGGACUAUAGUUGUAAAGCCACGAGGGGUCUUUGGAAUAAGUACAUUAAUAUUAAUUAUUUCCGUUCCAUUAGUUCAGCCACUUGUAUAAAAUUUUAGCUAAAGCUUUAUCAUUGAGGUUGAGAGUAUUUUUUUGGGACACUAUCUCUUCCUGUCAAGGUGUACCUUUGUUGAGGGUUGUCAAAUUUUAAAUGUAGCUUUGAUAGCUAAUGUGCUAGUAGAGGAUCAUAGAAGUUUCUAUGAGGAAUGAGUUAUUUUUAAGGUUGAUUUUGAAAAAACAUAUGAUUAUGUGAAAUGGGGCUUUUUGGAUUUUGUUUGAAAAAAAUGGAUUCAAGGUUGUUUGUUGACUAUCCUCUUGUAAUUUAUCAGUUAUAGUUAAAGGUAAGACUGAUGAUAUUUUUAAAGCCAUGAGGGGUCUUAGGCAGGGAGACCCGCAUUCUUCUUUUCUAUUCACUCCAGUUGUUGAUGUUUGGGCACGAUGGUGGAUUGAGCAAAGGAGGCAGGUUUAGUGGACAGAUUUGAAGUGGGAAGGGAUAGUUUUUGUAUCUCAUUUACAAAAUGUAGAUGAUACCAUUUUUUUCUUCUAGUGAAGAAGAGAAAUUGGCUAAUUUGUUGUAUGUUUUGAGUAGUUUCGAAUGAUUUUAGGGCUUAAGGUAAAUUUUAUUAAAAGUGCUUCAGUUGGUAUUAAUUUUUCACAUAAUGUUUUAUAAAGAUUGUCCGGGUUGGUAUGGUGUCCAAUUGAGUCCUUGCCAAUGAAGGAUUUGGGACUUACUUUAAGGGACAAUGUUGAGGUGGAUAAGCUUUGAGCUUUGUAAUUGAGAAGAUCAAUAAAAGAUUGGAGGGGCGGAAGAGGGCUUGGUCCGGUUUUCUUUCUACGAUACCCAUUUGUACUGUCUUUUCUAUCAAGGACUAUAUGUCUUUUUUAUUUUGCAUAAUGUCUCCAUUCUAUAAAUCGAAUUGUUAGGGGGAGGGGAAGACCUAAAUUGACAUAGGAUGCAAAUGUAAUAAGAUAUAUAAUUAUUAUAUUUAGCUAAGCAUAUAGCCCUUGAUAGAGCAAAAUGGUGAAAAAAGGAUUUGUGUAGAGCAAUGUUUUAAAAAGUUCUAGGCACAUUGAUGCGCUAAGGUCUCUUGGAGCCUAAGCGUGAGGUGCAAGUCGUAGAAGAUAAGAAAAUUUUUGAUAUAGGCAAAGUUUUCAACAUAAGCAAAUAUUUCUAGAAUUUCAAAGAGUAUAGAACAACAUUUAAUAUUCUAAAAACUAUAAAAAUAACAUUUAUAAAAAAAAAAAAAACCAUAAAAA